rnacentral:rRNA from 1 species
GAUGAACGUUGGCGGCGUGCUUAACACAUGCAAGUCGAACGAUGAUGCCCAGCUUGCUGGGUGGAUUAGUGGCGAACGGGUGAGUAACACGUGAGUAACCUGCCCUUGACUCUGGGAUAAGCCUGGGAAACUGGGUCUAAUACCGGCUACGACCAUCUGGCGCAUGUCAUGGUGGUGGAAAGCUUUUGUGGUUUUGGAUGGACUCGCGGCCUAUCGGCUUGUUGGGGGGGUAAUGGCCUACCACGGCGACGACGGGUAGCCGGCCUGAGAGGGUGACCGGGCACACUGGGCCUGAGACACGGCCCAGACUCCUACGGGAGGCAGCAGUGGGGAAUAUUGCACAAUGGGCGCAAGCCUGAUGCAGCGACGCCGCGUGCGGGAUGACGGCCUUCGGGUUGUAAACCUCUUUCAGUAGGGAAGAAGCGAAAGUGACGGUACCUGCAGAGGAAGCGCCGGCUAACUACGUG